UAGACAGCAGUAGCCGCGGGAAAACAGAGGGUGCGAGCGUUAAUCGGAUUUACUGGGCGUAAAGCGUGCGUAGGCGGCUUCUUAAGUCGGAUGUGAAAUCCCUGAGCUUAACUUAGGAAUUGCAUUCGAUACUGGGAAGCUAGAGUAUGGGAGAGGAUGGUAGAAUUCCAGGUGUAGCGGUGAAAUGCGUAGAGAUCUGGAGGAAUACCGAUGGCGAAGGCAGCCAUCUGGCCUAAUACUGACGCUGAGGUACGAAAGCAUGGGGAGCAAACAGGAUUAGAUACCCCUGUAGUCCCUGUCUCUUAUAU
rnacentral:rRNA from 1 species